rnacentral:lncRNA from 1 species
CCGAGGUUGAGGUCAGGCCCGUCGUAAAAUCACUGUUCAAUUUUGGUGUUGUGCCUCGCCAAAUUGGUGAGUUUAUGCUAAACUUGGUGCUACAAUAUACUUGAAAAAAAAAUGAUUUCAAAAUUUACCCUUUAAAAUUAAAAGAUGGCAUUGUUACUUUGUAUUUUGGAGGGACGCCAUUGUUACUCACAAACCCUGAGCUAGAAAUUUCAUCCUCGUCGACCAGGUAUUGCCUCUUUAUGUCUUUUGCCUCAUUUCGAUUUUUGUAUGGAAUUUCUGCGUGGGUUUGUUGAUGAUUGCGUCAAAUUGCGUCAAUCACUAACAUCCGAAUUCUUAUUUCAUCGACGAAUAUGGAAGUAGGGUUAUGCUUUGAGCUUUAAUGGUUUGAAUCCUUUUAAAAUUGAAUAGCGUACUCGUUCUUUAUUUGCCCGAAAUAAAUUCAAUAUGGAGGCGUCGACCGAUUUAGAUCGUUUCCUCACCUUCGAGCAGGCCCAGAUAUCCGCCGAAGCAUCUUACAUAACAUUUCAUCUCCAAUAGUCAACUAUACAUUAAUGAAAUAUUCUAUUUUUUUAAUACUUUCUCUUAUUAUUAAAUUAAUCUUUUUUUAUCUUAAUUAUACUCCCUCUGUCCCACUUCAAAUGACCCUAAAUUUUUCGGCACGAAGAUUAAAGAAUGUGUAAUAAAGAUGUAAAGUGGUGGUGGGACCAUCCAAAAAAUAAUGUUAAAUAUUUUUAAAUUUAGGUUGAGUCAUUUGAAGUGGGACAACCCAAAAUAGAAAUAAGGUCAUUUGAAGUGGGACAGAGGGAGUAAUAAAUAUAAAAUAAAUAAUUUUAUAACAAACUAUAGUUAAAUCGUUGCAAAAUAAACAAUUUAUUUCAACAACGUAAAAACUACUUGCAAAAGUAUAAAUCACAUAGUAAUAGCGAAACUAACAUUACAUAAUAAAUACUUGUCAAAACACAAGUUACAUAGAGUCGAUAUAUUAAAUUAGUCUAUUUCUUAUAGUAAAUUAAAAAUUUACCCACUCUCAAAUAAAAAAUUUAAAUAAUACUCAAUUUUUGUGUUAAAUAACUAAAUUGCCCGUAAGAUUAAAUUACCACAUACAUCAUCACAAACACACUACACAUUUUCUAAAAAAAUAUCACACAGAUCUCCGUUCUCUCUCUCUCUAUCUGUACGCACAUAUAUCUCUCUCUCCUCCAUUCUCUCUCUUGCUAGUUAUUUAGUUACAAGUAUAGCUGUUGAUUUAUGUAGUUUUCCACUCGCGACUUUGCUGCCAUUUCAUCCGCUAAAGUUAGCUCGAAAGCGAAGUUGUUGAUCAUAAAUUGAUACCCCCUCCGUCCCAUCGAAAGUGGUGCAUUUCUUUUGGGUACGGGACUUAAGGAGAAUAAGAUUGUAGUGUAAAGGUGUGUAAAUGUGUGUGGGGCCACAUUGUUUGUAAUGUAAAAUUAUUACUAAAAAAGAAAAUGCACCACUUUCGGUGGGGCAACCCAAAAAAGAAUACACACAACUUUCGGUGGAACAGAUGGAGUAUUUGUUUUGGUGAUUUUGGUACCUUUUUGGCCUAUUUUCCACGUUUCUUGGAUACGUACAUGUUCAAAUGGAAAGAUGAAUUAUGGUGAAGUUUUCAAUGAUGUUUUGACUAGAUGGUAUAUUUUCGACGAUGAUCGUCAGAGCUCGGGUGAGUUUUUUAAUAAUUGAGAUUUUAGAUAAUUGAUUAAUGUUCUUGAAUUCAUAAUCAGAUUUAUGAAUUUACAAUUUAAUGUUCUUGAAUUCACGAUCGGAUUUAUGAAUUCACAACUUAAUGUUCAUGAAUUCACGACUAGAUCUAUGAAUUCACAAUUUAAUAUUUUUGAAUUCACAACCAGAUUUAUGAAUUCACAACUGAAUCAUUAGUGUUGGUUGUGAAUUCGAAUUUUAAAGCUCGAAUUCACAACUAGUUGUUUUGAUUGUGAAUUCGAGUUUUAAAAUUAGAAUUCACAACCAGUUUGAUGAAUUCACAACUAAAUUAUUAGUGUUAGUUAUGAAUUUGAGUUUUAAAUUUCGAAUUCACAACCAACUCUAUUGUUAGUUGUGAAUUCAAGUAGUCGUGAAUUUGAGUCUUAAAGUUUGAAUUCACGACUAACAAUAUUUAUAGUUGUGAAUUCACGCUUUAAAACUUGAAUUCACGGCUAACACUAUUUUAUAGUUGUGAAUUCACGCUUCGAAACUUGAAUUCACGACUAACAUUAUUUUUAGUUGUUAAUUCAAGCUCUAAAACUCAAAUUUACGAUUACUUGAAUUCACAACUAAAAUGAAUGUUGGUUGUGAAUUCGACUGGGUGUGAAUGCGCUAGUAAUUUUUAAAUUUUUAUAUGCAAGGGUAAAAUGGUAAGGAUGAUUAAUUUUAAUUUUUUUUUAUCUUAGUGGAUAAUUUUUAAAUUUACUAUUCCAAAGAAUCUAUUUUCAAAAUCCACUCAAUUACAUAAUAAUUAGAACUAAUAUUAUUAAGGAUAAAUGACAGUACAACAUCGAUAUCGUUGAUCUAAAAUAUACUCCCUCCGUCCCAAUAUUCAAGUCCCGUAUUUCUUUUUGAGCCGUCCCAUGUAACAAGUCCCCUUUCCUUUUUUGGCAUUAAUUAGGACUCAAUUAAGCAUUUAAUUAAGUCUCUCUACCCCCUUGCUUCUCUCUCUCUCUCUCUCGUCUCAACCUUACCCCACCUGCCCCUCUCUAUCUUCUCUCUCAAUCGCCUCCACCGCCAUCCUCUUCCACCGCUUCCCACCUCUCCACCUUCACCGCCUCUACAACCAUUUUCUUCGGCCGAACAAACAGAGCCAUCACUGCGCCGGACUCCAACACCUCCGCGCCACCGUUCCUCUCACCCCUCCACCUUCCACCGCCUCCAACACCUCCUGCUCCGCCUCGCGUCUCCGCUGCCAAUGCAACUCGCGCUAUGGGUGUGUGUUCGUGUGUUCUGACCGCCGGAGAGAGACCACCGGUGAGACCGCCGGAGAGAGACCACCGGAGAGAGAAGGUGGUCUGCUAGAUUUUCCUUGUUGUAUUAGUCAAUUGAAUUAGUAAAUAAAAUAACAUUAAAUAAAGCACUAAUUAUGUGGUCCCUACUACUUUUACAUUCACUUUAACUCUCCUAAAUACCCGUGCCCAAAAGAAAGGGGACUUCAUUAAUGGGACGGAGGGAGUAUUUAUAUAUGAACUAAAAAAAAUAAUAUUAAGUGUGCGUAUGUUGGCCUAGCGAUAGAUGGUUAAUGCUUAAGGCCUGAAGUCUUGAGUUCGAGUCCACUGUCGACGUGCGGUCUUUAAAUUUCUUUAUUUACUUGUGUAAUUUAUCAAUAAUUUUUUUAAAAAAAAAUUAAUACCACCAAAAAGUGAAAAUAUAUUUUCUACAAAUAAAAUAAGAUAAAAGAUAAAAAUAAGUACUCCUAAUACUCCUAAGAUAAAAAUUGGCAAAAGAACCCCAGACAAACGAUAAAAAUAAGUAAUUAAAGGAUAAAAAAAAAAGUAUAAUUGGAAGAACAAUAUUCACUCUCGGGAUAUUGUACGUUCAUCUGCACCAAAAUAGCAUAGAAUUAAGGGUUCUGAUGGAGACCGAUUUGAUCAACUCUAAAUAUAUAUUGUUUCAUGCCAAUAUGUUGUGCCAAUACAAAUGCUCCUAGUAAAUAAUAGUAAAUUAGUUUAUAUUAUUUUUAUUUAUUUAAUUAAUUCUAAAAAUAAAAGAAUUUAUUGUUGUUAUAUAUACUCAACCUAUGGUUUCUAGCAAAUAUAUAUAAUGUUUUAUUAAAUAAAAUGAAUUUUUCUCAACUUAAAGAAAAGCAUAGUAAGAUUUUCUAAUUAAUAUUUACCACAUUUGUGUUAUGCUUGUCUGGACAAAACUCAAUGUAUAUAUUAAAAUUUCAGAUGUUAUCUAGAACUCGAAAUAAAUUUUUGCCACAAUUAUCGAACCAACUACAUACACGAAAUAAAAAAAAUAUUCAUCGAAGGAAAUUUUAUACAUGGCCCAGAACGAAGUUGUCUUUAUCUCUUUUCUAGUUUCGUACUCUUGGAAUCAUAGAUUUACUUUUUUUUUUUUUUUACCUCAUGUUGGUUUUAUCCAACUUCAUUACUCCCUCUGUCCCACGAAGUAUGAUACAGUUUCCUUUUUGGUCUGUUCCACGAAGCAUGACAUAUUUUUAAAAAUAGCAAAAAAAUUACUCAUUAUUCACUUUUUCACCAACCACACUUAACACAUAAAAUAUCAAUUUCUUAAUUCUCGUGCCGAAAAGAACUGUGUCAUGCUUCAUGGGACGGAGGGAGUACUUCACUAACUAAUUACCAAUUUACCACUAACUAAUAAGUCCAUAAUUUCAGUCAUUUAAUGUGCAGUGUGUGAUGUGUGUGCAUUGUAACAAAAAAAAAAAGAAAAAAAAGGAACGACACUUGGUCUUAUUCCUUAUUUGCCUCUAUUCACUUUAACCAUAAGGUCCAUAACGUGAAAUAUGCGUGGCAUCCUAUGUCCCGUUCAUACUUCAUAGUGUCCCAUUCGGUGUUCUAUUUUCAUUUUUUAUAGUGUUUAGCCACUUUUUAUUUUUAAUUUAUUAUAUUUUGAUACAUUUUUAAGGUAAUUAACUAAUUCAUUACAAUUUAUAUUUAGUCCAUACUAGGUAUAUAAUUUUUUAAAACUUUAUUUUUUAAAUGAAAAAUAAUUCUCCAUCCGUCCACAGAACAUCUUCUUAUAUAAAGGGAAUGGACACGAGUUUUAAGAAAAAUAAGGUUUAUAUUUGGUGAGUGAAAAAUGGAUCCCAUAAAUAAAAAAAAGUUAUGAUAAUUAAUGAGAUUAUUUCAAAGAUGGUGGAUUAUGUGUAAAUAUGUGAAAAUUUUAGAAGUGAUAAUUAUUGGGUUGUCUUCCAUAAUGGUCUAAGAAAAUAUUUCAUGAAGAGAGUAAGUAAUUAGAAUGUAAGCGAAAUUAAUAAUGAGAUAAAGUAACUGUGAAUCAGAAAGUUGCAUCUGCGUUAGAAACCCUCAUAAAUUAUCUUUUUGUAGUUUUGCAGAUGGAUCUAUUAUCCUUCAUUGUACCAGAAAAAAAACACUAUAUAUUUGUGGAGUUUGCACGCCUGCACUGAAACUCAACUGUAAACCUUGAACAGUGUUGUCAGUAGCCAUCCCAUGUGCACCCACUUAAUUUUUCCACUUUAAAACAACUACUUUGCCAUUUCGUAAAAAAUACCCAUGCUCAUGCAUUGUAUCUCAGGCUGAUUGUAUUUUCAGUCCUAGGAGAUUCUUAAUUAUCAAUUUUUCAGAAAAUUCAUUAUUAUGCUGAAUAGUUUAGAAAAACGGCAGUGAUGGCUAGGUAUUUAGAUUUUUUUUAUCAGGAAAAGAUUUUAUUAAAGAAAGUAAAAGGGAUCGGCACCAGGAUGCCAAAGAUCCAAAAGAGAACACAGCAAGCACCAUCAAAAAAGCACCACAAAACACCAUCAACAGCCCUCCCUCAACAGAGGAGACCCGUUGAGAAACAAGGAAAAAGCAGCAGAAACACGCACAUCCGACCACCGCAAGCUCAUUCAACCAACGACGCCACCAAUCGUUCCAGCUAAACAGGAAGGUCUCCAUCUCUCAACUGGACGCCUUCCCUCCUAUGACAGAGAAAAAGUCCGCCAAAGAGGAGCUCUAAGAGCGCCAGACAUCGAAAAACUCUCCCCCACGUCAACCACCUCCAACUCCAUGAUCAAGCCCUGCCCAUCAGGUUACGGAGAAAAUCAAAAUCACACCAGGAAUCAAAAGCAAUCUCCUCGUCAAUAAUUCCAAAAACCUUAUUCCAACUCCAUAUGCAGUUGUAUUUAGGUAUUGUGUUGGGUUUGAUCCUUUUUCAAAAGAAAAAGAUGAAAAUAAAUAAAUUGUAUCCAUAAAUUUAAAUAUAUUUACAUAGUAGCCACUUUCAUGAUGGCGAAACACUUUCAUAUUUUUAAUGUGAUGGAACACACAUAACAAGC